GAUGAAGAACGUAGCGAAAUGCGAUAAGUAAUGCGAAUUGCAGAAUUUCCGUGAAUCAUCGAAUCUUUGAACGCACAUUGCGCCCACUGGUAUUCCGGUGGGCAUGCCUGUUCGAGCGUCAUUAUCCUCCCUCAAACCCCGGGUUUGGUGUUGGACCCAAGUUGUGUGAACAACUGGUCUCAAAGACAAUGACGGCGUCCGUGGGACCCUCGGUGCAACGAGCUUUUAGGAGCACGCGCCGAGUUGCAAGGACCUUCCGGGCCGGUCUCCUUUACUAUUUUACAAGGUUGACCUCGGAUCAGGUAGGAAUACCCGCUGAACUUAAGCAUAUCAAUAAGCGGAGGA
rnacentral:misc_RNA from 1 species